rnacentral:rRNA from 1 species
GGCGAACGGGUGAGUUAAUAUAUCGGAACGUGCCUAGUAGUGGGGAACAACCAGCCGAAAGGUUGGCUAACACCGCAUACGACCUACGGGUGAAAGCAGGGGAUCUUCGGACCUUGCGCUAUUAGAGCGGCCGACAUCUGAUUAGGUAGUUGGUGGGGUAAAGGCCUACCAAGCCGAUGAUCAGUAGCUGGUCUGAGAGGACGAUCAGCCACACUGGAACUGAGACACGGUCCAGACUCCUACGGGAGGCAGCAGUGGGGAAUUUUGGACAAUGGGGGAAACCCUGAUCCAGCCAUUCCGCGUGAGUGAAGAAGGCCUUCGGGUUGUAAAGCUCUUUCGCAAGGGAAGAAAUUUUAUUGUCGAAUAAACAGUAAAGAUGACGGUACCUUGAGAAGAAGCACCGGCUAACUACGUGCCAGCAGCCGCGGUAAUACGUAGGGUGCGAGCGUUAAUCGGAAUUACUGGGCGUAAAGCGUGC